rnacentral:rRNA from 1 species
CCUACGGGUGGCAGCAGUGAGGAAUAUUGGUCAAUGGACGAGAGUCUGAACCAGCCAAGUAGCGUGAAGGAUGACUGCCCUAUGGGUUGUAAACUUCUUUUAUAUGGGAAUAAAAUGUUCCACGUGUGGGAUUUUGUAUGUACCAUAUGAACAAGGAUCGGCUAACUCCGUGCCAGCAGCCGCGGUAAUACGGAGGAUCCGAGCGUUAUCCGGAUUUAUUGGGUUUAAAGGGAGCGUAGGUGGAUUGUUAAGUCAGUUGUGAAAGUUUGCGGCUCAACCGUAAAAUUGCAGUUGAAACUGGCAGUCUUGAGUACAGUAGAGGUGGGCGGAAUUCGUGGUGUAGCGGUGAAAUGCUUAGAUAUCACGAAGAACUCCGAUUGCGAAGGCAGUUCACUGGACUGCAACUGACACUGAGGCUCGAAAGUGUGGGUAUCAAACAGGAUUAGAUACCCUUGUAGUC